UACGAAGGGGGCUAGCGUUGUUCGGAAUCACUGGGCGUAAAGCGCACGUAGGCGGAUUUUUAAGUCAGGGGUGAAAUCCCGAGGCUCAACCUCGGAACUGCCUUUGAUACUGGAGAUCUUGAGUCCGGAAGAGGUAAGUGGAACUGCGAGUGUAGAGGCGAAAUUCGUAGAUAUUCGCAAGAACACCAGUGGCGAAGGCGGCUUACUGGGCCGGAACUGACGCUGAGGUGCGAAAGCGUGGGGAGCAAACAGG
rnacentral:rRNA from 1 species